rnacentral:tRNA from 2 species
CAAGAAAUAGUUUAUAUUAAAAUAUUAAUUUUGGGGAUUAAUGAAAAAGAAAUUCUUUUUUCUUGA